rnacentral:rRNA from 1 species
UAUUGGUUUUUGUAUGUGUUAGCAUGGGAUAAUGAAAUAGGACUUUGGUGCUAUUUUGUUGGUUUCGAACACCGAAGUAAUGAUUAAUAGGGAUAGUCAGGGGCACUCGUAUUCCGCCGAGAGAGGUGAAAUUCUCAGACCAGCGGAAGACGAACCACUGCGAAAGCAUUUGCCAGGGAUGUUUUCACUGAUCAAGAACGAAAGUUAGGGGAUCGAAGACGAUCAGAUACCGUCGUAGUCUUAACCAUAAACCAUGCCGACUAGGGAUUGGAGGAUGUUCAAUACGUGACUCCUUCAGCACCUUUCGGGAAACUAAAGUCUUUGGGUUCCGGGGGGAGUAUGGUCGCAAGGCUGAAACUUAAAGGAAUUGACGGAAGGGCACCACCAGGAGUGGAGCCUGCGGCUUAAUUUGACUCAACACGCA